GUUUAAGGGCGGAUUUAUCUGAUCAAGGGCCGGGGCACAAGGGUCCUGGUACUAUCCAGGUGCGAAGAACCCCGGAGGUGACUGCAAUGAGCAGAAAUCUAACUAACCGGCCUAAACGACGAGCAAACACUCGAAC